AACUUACGUUCCGCUAGAGUAGAACGUUGCCAGGCAAGUUGAGACCGCAAGGUCUCUUUUUUUACGUCUAAAAUGUCAAAGUAGUACCGUGAGGGAAAGGUGAAAAGCACCCCGGAAGGGGAGUGAAAUAGAACCUGAAACCGUGUGCUUACAAGUAGUCAGAGCCCGUUAAUGGGUGAUGGCGUGCCUUUUGUAGAAUGAACCGGCGAGUUACGAUUUGAUGCAAGGUUAAGCAGUAAAUGUGGAGCCGUAGCGAAAGCGAGUCUGAAUAGGGCGUUUAGUAUUUGGUCGUAGACCCGAAACCAGGUGAUCUACCCUUGGUCAGGUUGAAGUUCAGGUAACACUGAAUGGAGGACCGAACCGACUUACGUUGAAAAGUGAGCGGAUGAACUGAGGGUAGCGGAGAAAUUCCAAUCGAACCUGGAGAUAGCUGGUUCUCUCCGAAAUAGCUUUAGGGCUAGCCUCAAGUGAUGAUUAUUGGAGGUAGAGCACUGUUUGGACGAGGGGCCCCUCUCGGGUUACCGAAUUCAGACAAACUCCGAAUGCCAAUUAAUUUAACUUGGGAGUCAGAACAUGGGUGAUAAGGUCCGUGUUCGAAAGGGAAACAGCCCAGACCACCAGCUAAGGUCCCAAAAUAUAUGUUAAGUGGAAAAGGAUGUGGCGUUGCCCAGACAACUAGGAUGUUGGCUUAGAAGCAGCCAUCAUUUAAAGAGUGCGUAAUAGCUCACUAGUCGAGUGACACUGCGCCGAAAAUGUACCGGGGCUAAACAUAUUACCGAAGCUGUGGAUUGUCCUUUGGACAAUGGUAGGAGAGCGUUCUAAGGGCGUUGAAGCAUGAUCGUAAGGACAUGUGGAGCGCUUAGAAGUGAGAAUGCCGGUGUGAGUAGCGAAAGAUGGGUGAGAAUCCCGUCCACCGAUUGACUAAGGUUUCCAGAGGAAGGCUCGUCCGCUCUGGGUUAGUCGGGUCCUAAGCUGAGGCCGACAGGCGUAGGCGAUGGAUAACAGGUUGAUAUUCCUGUACCACCUAUAAUCGUUUUAAUCGAUGGGGGGACGCAGUAGGAUAGGCGAAGCGUGCGAUUGGAUUGCACGUCUAAGCAGUAAGGCUGAGUAUUAGGCAAAUCCGGUACUCGUUAAGGCUGAGCUGUGAUGGGGAGAAGACAUUGUGUCUUCGAGUCGUUGAUUUCACACUGCCGAGAAAAGCCUCUAGAUAGAAAAUAGGUGCCCGUACCGCAAACCGACACAGGUAGUCAAGAUGAGAAUUCUAAGGUGAGCGAGCGAACUCUCGUUAAGGAACUCGGCAAAAUGACCCCGUAACUUCGGGAGAAGGGGUGCUCUUUAGGGUUAACGCCCAGAAGAGCCGCAGUGAAUAGGCCCAAGCGACUGUUUAUCAAAAACACAGGUCUCUGCUAAACCGUAAGGUGAUGUAUAGGGGCUGACGCCUGCCCGGUGCUGGAAGGUUAAGAGGAGUGGUUAGCUUCUGCGAAGCUACGAAUCGAAGCCCCAGUAAACGGCGGCCGUAACUAUAACGGUCCUAAGGUAGCGAAAUUCCUUGUCGGGUAAGUUCCGACCCGCACGAAAGGCGUAACGAUUUGGGCACUGUCUCAACGAGAGACUCGGUGAAAUCAUAGUACCUGUGAAGAUGCAGGUUACCCGCGACAGGACGGAAAGACCCCGUGGAGCUUUACUGUAGCCUGAUAUUGAAAUUCGGCACAGCUUGUACAGGAUAGGUAGGAGCCUUUGAAACGUGAGCGCUAGCUUACGUGGAGGCGCUGGUGGGAUACUACCCUAGCUGUGUUGGCUUUCUAACCCGCACCACUUAUCGUGGUGGGAGACAGUGUCAGGCGGGCAGUUUGACUGGGGCGGUCGCCUCCUAAAAGGUAACGGAGGCGCUCAAAGGUUCCCUCAGAAUGGUUGGAAAUCAUUCAUAGAGUGUAAAGGCAUAAGGGAGCUUGACUGCGAGACCUACAAGUCGAGCAGGGUCGAAAGACGGACUUAGUGAUCCGGUGGUUCCGCAUGGAAGGGCCAUCGCUCAACGGAUAAAAGCUACCCCGGGGAUAACAGGCUUAUCUCCCCCAAGAGUUCACAUCGACGGGGAGGUUUGGCACCUCGAUGUCGGCUCAUCGCAUCCUGGGGCUGUAGUCGGUCCCAAGGGUUGGGCUGUUCGCCCAUUAAAGCGGUACGCGAGCUGGGUUCAGAACGUCGUGAGACAGUUCGGUCCCUAUCCGUCGUGGGCGUAGGAAAUUUGAGAGGAGCUGUCCUUAGUACGAGAGGACCGGGAUGGACAUACCUCUGGUGUACCAGUUGUCGUGCCAACGGCAUAGCUGGGUAGCUAUGUGUGGACGGGAUAAGUGCUGAAAGCAUCUAAGCAUGAAGCCCCCCUCAAGAUGAGAUUUCCCAACUUCGGUUAUAAGAUCCCUCAAAGAUGAUGAGGUUAAUAGGUUCGAGGUGGAAGCAUGGUGACAUGUGGAGCUGACGAAUACUAAUCGAUCGAAGACUUAAUCAA
rnacentral:rRNA from 1 species